rnacentral:tRNA from 1 species
GGGGGUGUAGCUCAGUUUUAGAGCACUUGCCUAACAUACAUGAGGCCCUGAGUUCUAUUCCCAGCACCACAC